GUGCUGGCUUUGGCAGCACAUAUACUAAAAUUGGAAUGAUAUAACGAAGAUUAGCAUGACCUCUGCACAAGGAUGACACACACAUUUGUGAAGGGCUCAUAUUUAAA
ensembl:snRNA U6 U6 spliceosomal RNA